rnacentral:rRNA from 1 species
AGUGAACGCUGGCGGUAGACCUAACACAUGCAAGUCGAACGGCAGCACAGUAAGAGCUUGCUCUUACGGGUGGCGAGUGGCGGACGGGUGAGGAAUACAUCGGAAUCUACUUUUUCGUGGGGGAUAACGUAGGGAAACUUACGCUAAUACCGCAUACGACCUACGGGUGAAAGCAGGGGAUCUUCGGACCUUGCGCGAUUGAAUGAGCCGAUGUCGGAUUAGCUAGUUGGCGGGGUAAAGGCCCACCAAGGCGACGAUCCGUAGCUGGUCUGAGAGGAUGAUCAGCCACACUGGAACUGAGAAACGGUCCAGACUCCUACGGGAGGCAGCAGUGGGGAAUAUUGGACAAUGGGCGCAAGCCUGAUCCAGCCAUACCGCGUGGGUGAAGAAGGCCUUCGGGUUGUAAAGCCCUUUUGUUGGGAAAGAAAAGCAGCAGGUUAAUACCCCGCUGUUCUGACGGUACCCAAAGAAUAAGCACCGGCUAACUUCGUG